AUACUUACCUUGUGGGAGAGAUACCAUGUUCACAAAGGUGGUUUUCCCAGCGUGAGGCUUAUCCAUUGCAUUCUGGAUGUAUUGACCCCUGCAAUUUCCCCAAAUGUGGGAAACUUGACUGCAUAAUUUGUGGUAGUGGGGUACUGCGUUCGUGCUCUCCCCUU